CUUGCAGAGUUUCUUGGCAUUCUGUCCACCUCCACUUGAUGUAUGUUUCUUUCUCUUACACCUUUCACUCCUACGAGGAGGUGGACAUACUGCCAACAGAGCUGUGUUGG
rfam:Vigna angularis cultivar Jingnong 6 chromosome 9, whole genome shotgun sequence.